CACGUAGGGUGCGAGCGUUGUCCGGAAUUAUUGGGCGUAAAGAGCUCGUAGGCGGUGUGUCGCGUCGGCCGUGAAAACCUGCAGCUUAACUGUGGGCUUGCGGUCGAUACGGGCAUCACUGGAGUUCGGCAGGGGAGACUGGAAUUCCUGGUGUAGCGGUGAAAUUCGUAGAUAUCGGGAGGAACACCGGUGGCGAAGGCGGCGACCUGGGUAGAUACUGACGCUGAGGUGCGAAAGCGUGGGGAGCAAACAGG
rnacentral:rRNA from 1 species